rnacentral:tRNA from 1 species
GACAACGUGGCCGAGUGGUUAAGGCGACAGACUCGAAUUCAAUUCGUGGUAUCUGUUGGGUUCGCCCGCAUAGGUUCAAAUCCUGUCGUUGUCG